AGUGAACGCUGGCGGCGUGCCUAACACAUGCAAGUCGAACGAUGAUGGAGGAGCUUGCUCUUCCUGAUUAGUGGCGCACGGGUGAGUAACGCAUAGGUAAUGUGCCCCUUAGUCUGGGAUAGCCACUGGAAACGGUGAUUAAUACUAGAUACUCCUUCUCAUUAUAAGAUGAGUCGGGAAAGUUUUUCGCUAAGGGAUCAGCCUAUGUCCUAUCAGGUAGUUGGUGAGGUAACGGCUCACCAAGCCAAUGACGGGUAUCUGGUUUGAGAGGAUGAUCAGACACACUGGAACUGAGACACGGUCCAGACUCCUACGGGAGGCAGCAGUGAGGAAUAUUGCACAAUGGAGGAAACUCUGAUGCAGCAACGCCGCGUGGAGGAUGACGCAUUUCGGUGUGUAAACUCCUUUUAAGAGGGAAGAUUAUGACGGUACCUCUUGAAUAAGCACCGGCUAACUCCGUGCCAGCCGCCGCGGUAA
rnacentral:rRNA from 1 species